GUGAGGAAUAUUGGGCAAUGGGCAAAAGCCUGACCCAGCCACGCCGCGUGAGUGAUGAAGGCCUUCGGGUUGUAAAGCUCUGUGGGGAGGGAAGAAAAAGCGGGAGAGUAACUGCUCUCGUGUUGACGGUACCUCCUUAGCAAGCACCGGCUAACUCUGUGCCAGCAGCCGCGGUAAUACAGAGGGUGCAAACGUUGCUCGGAAUUACUGGGCGUAAAGCGCGUGUAGGCUGACAUGCAAGUCGGGUGUGAAAUCCCAGGGCUCAACCUUGGAACUGCACUCGAAACUGCACGUCUUGAGUACUGGAGAGGGAAGCGGAAUUCCGGGUGUAGAGGUGAAAUUCGUAGAUAUCCGGAGGAACACCAGUGGCGAAGGCGGCUUCCUGGACAGUAACUGACGCUGAGACGCGAAAGCGUGGGGAGCAAACAGGAUUAGAAACCCCGGUAGUCC
rnacentral:rRNA from 1 species